ensembl:lncRNA
CUGGGGAAAGAGGGAAGAAAAUGAAGUGCUGGUAAAAUAAAGCUGCUUGUCCCUUGGACCAGCAUGUGCUAAGGUGAUUCCUUCACAUCGGAGUGUUUGGAGGGCCUCUUGUUAUGCUUCUAAACCUCUUAUCUUCUGUAAAGGGGUGAUCCAACCCCCAGGUCACAGGAGAAGGGGAUCUGGAGCUGUUUCUGUGCUGUUUCCCUACGUCUGCCCAAGGGCGUGAGGUGUGAGAUGGUUUCAGUCAUGGUGAGAGCAUGGGGGGCUGAGCGGUGGCUCCCAGAGAUGCCCCUGUGUGUGCUGACUGCUUGGGGAGUUGUAGAGAGGUAAUUACAUCUUGGACGUAGUCUGCCCUAAAUAAGGAACAGAAGCCAGAGUGGGUCAUGGUGGUUCUGCUUUUGAAGAUUUUGGUCCCCUUUUUGGCUCUGAAAAUCAGAAAUUGGGACUCUGACAGAUCCUCCUUGGAAGUGGUCCAGAAACAUCUGCUUUGCUCUUCUCUAGAAAAGGGAACCCCUGUCUUAAAGAUGCUUCUUUCUCUCACUUUUCCUGUAAAAGGGAAAUAAGUGCAGAUGCACGUACUGCUGUUCUCUGUGCCCAAGGCACAGGAUGCUGAUCCCAGCGACAUGAGGACCCAGCUGGAGACCCCAGCACAGCGUAUCAGGGUGGGAACCAUCCCUUUACUUCCUAAUGGGAUCAGUGCAGGUUUAUAGAGCUCUCUGCAAAAGAAGGGUUAACUUGAACUGUGCAUGCAGAGCAGCUGCUGAUCCACAAAUGAGCGUGUUCCAACAGGAACAAUAAAUCUUGUCCGUACCUGUGCUUGCUGGAGCCAGAUCCCAGCAGCACCAGCCACGGUUUCCGCCUAUCUCCACUGAGCGCUGCAGCACUUCACUGUGUGAGCUCUUUCCAGGCAGCCUGGAGGUGCUCCUUCCCUCUUCUUCUUCCCUCAGCAGCACGAGCUUAUCUUCUCAUUUUUAUUUCUUUUUUUCUUUCCAAUUAUUUGAUUAUCUUUUUUGCCUUGCGACACAUACGUUCCUGUUAUUUCCACCACAUUUCAGAGCAGCUGGAGGAGUUCAGCUGCAGGCACGUUCCUGACACCCACCCCAUGGCACUGACGCAGUGCAGGUGACCGUAAACCAGGAAUUUGGAUGGAGCAGGUCUAAUGGCAGCCACAUGGCGUGCUGGGUGCCAGUGGCCAUUUGUGGCCUACCGUUAGAUUGGGCUGCUAAGGGCAGAAGAAUCAAUCAUUGCAGAAAGAUGAGGGUGAGCUGGUUAGCCUGAGGCUGCUGGUUUCAUUCAGGAGGAGGAGGGGGCCAUUCAGGUUUCCUUGCUGUAGGAAAUAAGAUGAAAGCAAAUUCCCUCUUCUGCUUGGUCAAGGGGCUGCACCGGGGGAUCUGACAUAGAGGCUUUGGAGCGUGUCCAGAGAAGGGCAAUGGAGCUGUGAGGGGUUGGGAGCACAGUCCUAUGAGGAGCGGCUGAGGGAACUGGGAUGGUUCAGUUUGGAAAAGAAGAGGCUCAGGGGAGACCUUAUUGCUCUCUACAACUCUCAGAAAGGAGACUGUGGUGAGGUGGGGUCAGCCUCUUCUCCCAGGUAACAGCCAUAGAAUGAGAGGAGAUGGCCUCAGGUUGCGCCAGGGGAGGUUCAGGUUGGAUAUUAGGACAUCAUUUUUCUCAGAAGGAGUGGUGAUGCAGUGGAACAGGCUGCCCAGGGAGGUGGUGGGAUAGAUGUCACGCUGAAUUACGUGGUCUAGAGCGCUCACGUGCAUGGGUUGGUGGUUAGAUUAGAUGAUCUUAGCGGUCUUUCCACUCCUUAUGGUUCUGUUUCCUUAGGGUCAGUCUGAUGUGACACUGAGUGGUCUCUGAAACUGUUGUUUGACUUUUUCUAUUUUAGCUUCAUAGGAUGUGUUCUGAAAGCUCCAAACUGUUAUGAGAACGUCUUUCUCAGGCCUUUGCCUUGAAGCUGCAGCACUUUAUGUGCUUAUGAUCAGCCCUCCUGUGGUGAAUGCACAGCAACAUCCUCUUUCUGCUCUGACCCAUCCCAUCUGCUGGUUUGCAUUCGGUCGUCUUGGCACUGUCCUGCUCCCUGAUCUUCUCUUUCUUUCCUCUACUUAUGAUUCAAGGCAACUUUUGUAUCACCAAAAUGAUUUACUUUAAUAACACAGUCAACUUAAGAGAAAAACAGCGUUUCAAGCUUACCUUCUAUACUAAUCCACUGCCCUCCUGAGUUAUGUUAUUUUUCUAUGAUCCUGUGGCACUGAAUUUGACCUAUUUCUACUGCUUUUUACUGUGCAUGGCUGUAGCACAGGAUGGUUUAUUUUUCGACAGCUCCAGCUUUGUAAACUUUUCUGUGAGCUGUGGGGAAAAAGCGGCCAUUUUAGCACAUAAGUGGGAUAAACUUCCAACAGAUGCAUUUCCCAGGCAGGAACUGGUCUGUAAAAUAUUGCCACUUUGCAUGUGGUCAGGAAUAAGGCUGACUAUUGUAUCUUUAAUUAUAUAUGCUAAGUGAGUUGAUUAAAAAAUAAAAAAUUAAAAAAAAAAUGGCCAAGCAGACAAAACAGAAGUAUCCUUGAUCUACAUCUAAAUAUAUGUUUUUCAAAGGAAGCUGUAGCUUUUUGUGAUGCUUUUGUAUCCCAAUAGCUGGCAUUGAUUUCAGCCUGCCAGCUUGCAUUGACUGUUGAUGAUAAGGACAUUUGAUAACAUGUUGGUUUUUAAUAAAGCUCUUCUUUUCCCCAGAGAUGCGUGGAUCAGGUCACCUUCUUAGGUUUGCCCUUCUGUACUUGAUGCAAGAUUCAGUAUCUCCAGCCUUUAUUUAUUUUAGCCAAUUUGCAAAAUUAGCACCUAGAUCCUUGAAUGCAGUACUUUAUUGGGAUAUAUUCUCUCCAUGUCCAUUCCCAGAACUGAGAACCAGCUCUGUGUUGCAGGCACCCAGGGAGUGGUUUCCCUUCAUCUGCUUGUUUGGUUUGGUGCACGCACACCCAGCCAGCAAACCAGGCCUGUUCCCUUUACAAAGAAACAUGGUUUUAUUUAUUACAAGUCAUUUGGCUUUUAAAUUAUCCUUGGCGUUAAACCCUCAUCUGCUUUGCAGAUGGAAGGCAGUACUUACCAAACUGUCUUUAUUGUCUGGGGUAUCCCCAGCCCAGUCAAACCGUUCUGAUGUCCUUCCGACCACUUUCAUCUUAACGUUGUUCCUGAGGCUCAGCUGGGCUCCCUGGAUUUCCCAGGCAGGCAGUAGUCAGCAUGUUCUCUGCAAGCUGUGAUGAGCAGAGAUGGGGCUCUUCUCUCGAGCUGGUUGGAAGCCAUCUAUGGUUUGAAAAUCGUAUCAGUGCUGUUAGCUGAAAAUAAUCAGUUGUUGCUACAUCACUAGUCCUAAUGGUGGGAAAAAAAAACCCAACUGCUGCUCCUAAUGAGAUCAUCUGCAGGAAGACUGUACCCUUCCUUACCAGCUGGAUUCAUGGAGAGAAGCAGAGGAGGGACCUCUUUCCAGGUAUAAAUGAACGGAAUCACCAAAUUGUCUUUGAAGGGAAAAAAAAAAAUCAAGCUGUGUCUAUGUACAGCUUCCUUCAGUUUCUAAAACUCUAUUUUUGGAAAUUUAAAAGCUUUAAAAAGCCUGGAGGAAUCCCAGGCGUACAUACGGACUGGGAGGAGCAAUCCUCGAAAGUAGCCCUGCAGAGAAGGACCUGAGGGUCCUGGUGGAUGAAGAAUUUAUCAUGAGCCAGCAGCGUGCUUUUGGAGCUUGGAAAGCAAAUGGUAACCUGGGCUCCAUCAGAAGAGGGGUGGCCAGUAGGGAGAGGGAGGUGAUUGUCCCUCUCUAUUCUGCCCUUGUGAGGCCCCAUCUGGAGUACUGCGUCCAGGUAUGGAGCCCUCAGUACAAGACAGGGAGCUGUUGGAGAGGGUCCAGAGGAGGGCCACAAAGAUGAUCAGAGAGCUGGAGAACCUCCUCUACAGAGACACGCUGAGGGAGCUGGGCUUGUUCAGCCUGGAGAAAAGAAGGCUGCGGGGUGACCUCAUUGCAGCCUUCCGGUACCUGAAGGGAGCCUACAAACAGGAGGGGAGUCAACUCUUUACAAGAGUAGAUAAUGGCAGGACAAGGGGAAAUGGUUUUAAAUUGAAGGAGGGAAGAUUUAGGUUGGAUAUCAGGGGGAAGUCCUUUACCAAGAGAGUGGUGAGGUGCUGGAACAGGCUGCCCAGAGAGGUUGUGGAUGCCCCGUCCCUGCAGGUGUUCAAGGCCAGGUUGGAUGGGGCCCUGGGCAGCCUGGUCUAGUAUUAGAUAUGGAGGUUGGUGGCUCUGCCUGUGGCAGGGGGUUGGAGCUUGAUGGUCCUUGAGAUCCCUUCUAACCCAAGACAUUAGUAGAGGGUCAGACAAGGUGAUCUCCAAAGGUCCCUUCCACCCCUUACAAUUCUGUGUGUGAUUCUGUGAUUAUUCAGCAAGCAGGUUAAUGACGCUUCUUGUAUUUAUGUAGAACUAAAUGACUGCAUGAGCUGUAGCCACGUUUUAUUAACUCCUUCCUCUGUUUGUGCAGAGUCUGUGCAAUUAUUAUGAAAUAUACUUAUUGCAUAAAGUCAGGGCAGAUCUUCAAACUGGGUCUUCAUGUCGUCAACUCUUUCUUAAUGCAGUUUAUUACACCAUAACUAAAUGGCACCAUCUAUGACCUGCAUGGGGCUGUAGAAUCUUAUUAAGGCACGUUAAAAGGAACUAGAAGCCCUACAUGAAGUAAUUUAGCGUUGCUCACUCACCAGGCAGAUGCAUCCUCAUCCUAACAGGACCCAACAAAGGGCGUGAGCCUUGUGGUGGGGACAGGGCGAUCCUGUAGGACAACCUGGGAACAACUGAGCCUCUGGCAAAACGCUUUGGGCUGCUGCUGAUUGAGUGAGUCACAAAGCUAAGCCUUGUGAAGCUGGUAAAUUUCACCCAAUACAGCUUACGUGGAUUUUGGCUUUGAUCCAGCAAAGCACUUAAGCACAUGCUUAAUUAUAAGCAAGUGACAUCAAGCAAUUUAGUUAAGCACGUGUUUAAGCGUGGCGUUGGGCUAAAGACUUUAUUUAGAGAAACAUAGGAGUGUUUGUAAGCCCUAGAAGAGAAUGAAGCUGAAGGCCUCAUGAGGAACCACGCACGACACAAAGUUGUGGAGGUGCAGACGCUUCGGGUGCAGAGCUGUUCCAAGGAACCUAAGGAGAUUUGGCCUCCAGCAGUUCCCCAUGUCGUUUGGAGUCAUGGAGAACACCACGAUCAAUGAGAUGACCGUCUGUUGAUUUUGGAUUUCUGGCUGGACAUCAAGGCAUCCCAUGGCUGCUGUCCCUUCACAUGCACCGCUGGCUGGGUCCCAGUGGGCACGCAGGCUGGGGGAAUCAUAGGAUAGUUAAGGUUGUAAAAGACCUCUAUGAUCACGCAGUCAAACCACCAGGCCAUCCCCAUUGUGUCCCUCAGUGCCACAUCUCCAUGGUUCUUGAAUGCCUCCAGGGGUGAUGACUCCACCACCUCCCCGGGCAGCCUGUGCCAGUGCAUCACCACUCUUUCUGAGAAGAAAUGUUUCCUAACAUCCAACCUGAACUUCCCCAGCACAUCUUAAUGCCUACUGCUGUUACGUGGGAGAAGAGGCCAACACCCAACACAGCCUCCCUUCAGGGAGCUGCAGAGAGUGCUGAGGUCUCCCCUGAGCUCCAGACUGAACAAUCCCAGAUCCCUCAGCUGCUCGCCAUGAGAUGUUCUCCAGCUCCUUCACAGCUCCACUGCCCUUCUCUGGACGUGAUCCAUGGCCCCACUGUCUUUCUCGCAGCGAGGGGCCCAACACCGAACACAGCACUCGAGGCGCAGCCCCCCCACGGCCGAGUACAGCCACGGCGAAGCCCUCCGCUGUUGAAGCUGAGGAGCCGCCACACAGAGCCGUGCGGGUGCAACCGCUUUGGGUGCGGAGCUGUUCUGAGGAACGGCUGCACGUGAGGGAGAUGCGGCCUCCGGUCGUUCCCCAGAUCAUGUGGGGUUGUGGCGAUCACGGAGGGUCGGGACUUCUGGCCGCAGCCCCUUCACGCACACUGCUGGCCGCGUCCCACGGGGAGAAGGGGAACCGCGGCGUAGUUCCCUCCAGCAUCGCCGUACCAUCUCCGCCGGCACCGAGGCACUGACAACUCUGCUCCACGCACCUCGAGCGGGACGGAAACCAAGGAUGGAAGCGAAGAGAAGGAGCGCAGCGCGCAGCCCACCCCCGCUGACCGCGCCCGGCUCGGGGACGCGCU